rnacentral:rRNA from 1 species
UACGUAGGCAGCGAGCGUUGUUCGGAGUUACUGGGCGUAAAGCGUGCGUAGGCGGUGGUCCAAGUCUGGUGUGAGAUCUCCCGGCUCAACUGGGAGGGUGCGCCGGAAACUGGGCCGCUGGAGUACGGGAGAGGCAAGCGGAAUUCCAGGUGUAGCGGUGAAAUGCGUAGAUAUCUGGAGGAACACCCGUGGUGCAGACGGCUUGCUGGACCGUGACUGACGCUGAGGCACGAAAGCGUGGGUAGCAAACAGG